rnacentral:rRNA from 1 species
UACAGAGGUGCCAAGCGUUAGGCGGAAUCACUGGGCUUAAAGCGCGCGUAGGUGGCUUCGUAAGUCCGUUGUGAAAGUCAAAGGCUCAACCUUUGAAAGCCGAUGGAUACUGCGGAGCUAGAGUACGGAAGAGGCGAGUGGAAUUCCUGGUGUAGCGGUGGAAUGCGCAGAUAUCAGGAGGAACACCAAUAGCGAAGGCAGCUCGCUGGGACGUUACUGACACUGAGGCGCGAAAGCGUGGGGAGCGAACAGG